GCAAGCGAGUCAACAUCGCACAGCCAAUCACGAGAUUAGCGCCAAGCAAGUCAAAGUCUGCGCAGCCAAUAACGAGCGUGGUCAGUUUGCGGAAGAGGAUAGCUUAGCUGUUCAUCGUUGUCGACUAUCACUGUCUUUUGUCUUUUACCAUCGCCCUCCACCAACAUCCCCGACGGACAGUUUAGAUUAGGACGUCAGUCGCUAAUGCAGUUGUAUAUGUGCAUUGUAUGUGAAUCUAAUGCCUUCGUGAUGCAUAUGUAACCAGUGUGUCAGCGCCGCCCCGCGUUCCGCUAGGUAGGGAUGCCAACCACUGCGCCAUAAAGGUCGAGCCAACGACAGAGUUGCCAGCUUCUCUACAUGAAGGAAUCGGGAGGGAGGUUUCCACGCUCCACAACGGACCUGCGUGUACCCGUUACACAUAUACAAUGUUGAUGUUGCAUGAUCUGUAUUAUUUGCUUUGUUAAAUUAGUAUUGUGGACUAUGAGUAUUGGAGACUGUGAUAUAUAUCAUUGACGGUAGUUUCCCAUGACGGCCGCUAGAUGACAUCAUUCGUCCAUUUGUUGUAGGCCAAUUCAAUCAUAAUAUGCCUGUGAGUCAAUGUCUGCAUUUGACUGUAUUUUCCUGAUUAAACUGAAAUUUAUGAUAUUAAUUUAGCUUAUUCCUUUUUAUUGUAUUGUUUACAGACCGAUUUAAUACCUUAUGCCCUGUGGAGUUACAAUUCCUCAUUUUUGUACAUCAAGGAAGAUUUGGAUGAUUAUGCAAAAUUAAAGCCAUUUGAAUUCAGCAGUGGAUGCAUGUCACCUUUCUACCUGUGCUCAGUUCGGCACACCAUCAUGUUUAAAAUAAGUCCUUACAACGAACUAGCCCUUUAACGUCACCUCAAGAACCGUAACAAUUGGCGCAUUUUACUUGAAUUCUCCUUCCCUUUAAAUCACUCCAAAAUCUCAUCUGUGCCAAUCUGCUUUCAAUGUAUUGAUACUUUAUUAUUCUCACUGUUGUCUUCUACUUUUAUGAAUGUGAUUCUUAUACACAAAUUUACCUUCUAAUUCUAUGCUUGUUUUAUUUUUAUAUUGUAUUGUUAUUUUUGUGAUGUGUUUCCAUCCUUCUUUUAAAGUAUCAUUGCGCUUCAUGAGAACCACUACAUAAAAUCGUUAUUAUUAAAUACAUAACUUUUGAGUAGGUGGACAAAUAGUUAAACCCAGUUUAUAACGGUGGAUUGAUCAAUUAAUUAAUUUACACGAAUUGCAUUUUUAUUAAGAUUAUUAAUCUAUCCAUAUUUGUUGUGUAUGGUUAACUUUUUUGUGUAUGUGUAAUUACAAUCAAAGUUUUCUCAUGUUGUCACUUUUCACUGGCUUAUAUAUCACCGUAGCCCUCCAUUUCUUCCUCCAGGAGGCCACCUCUGACAGUGGUGUCUCCCACAGCUCUGUUCGCUGUGAAUAGAUCAUUGGAUAGCAUGGACUCAAGUGGGCUUCGGACAUCGACCCUGCAUAAUCGCUAAUUGGGAGACAGUGGAUGAUCUAGCGGCGUUUGUUGGCCUGAUCUGAACUGUCACAGCAUUGUCAGCACAUGAAAUCGCCCAGAUAUUGAAUCUGUACUCCCGCCUGCGUCCAUCUGACGAGGCUUCUCCAAAAUAUUCAUUAAAAUAAAAAAAGAAAACCUUGCCUGGGUCCCGGAGAACGUCGCGCAAGUCUGCCGGUUCUGUGCCUGGUCAGCAAGCGGCUGAAAGACUCUUCCACUCUUGAAGACCAAGGAGCGUGAGGCAAGAGGGGAAGCCCCCCAAAAAGGCGAUAUAAAUAAAAUCAUCAAUGCCAGUGCCAAAAAUGUGGAAAGGCAAAAAAUUGCUCCACUUGUCAUAGCCAAACAAAAGGGAAAUGGUAUUGUUCUGAUUCUGGCCAAACCAUAGAGGAGUGGAGAAACACGCUCUAAAGUGCUUACCUUUGUAAAUAUGAUUUGGAAACAUUAUUCCCAUUUUUUCAAAACUAAAUAUUGUUAUUUUUGCUUGUGUGUAAUUGCCACUUUUUUUUCUUACAUUUUAAAUAUUUGUUUGAA